GACGAACGCUGGCGGCGUGCUUAACACAUGCAAGUCGAACGGAAAGGCCCUGCUUUUGUGGGGUGCUCGAGUGGCGAACGGGUGAGUAACACGUGAGUAACCUGCCCUUGACUUUGGGAUAACUUCAGGAAACUGGGGCUAAUACCGGUUAGGAGCUCCUGCUGCAUGGUGGGGGUUGGAAAGUUUCGGCGGUUGGGGAUGGACUCGCGGCUUAUCAGCUUGUUGGUGGGGUAGUGGCUUACCAAGGCUUUGACAGGUAGCCGGCCUGAGAGGGUGACCGGCCACAUUGGGACUGAGAUACGGCCCAGACUCCUACGGGAGGCAGCAGUGGGGAAUAUUGCACAAUGGGCGGAAGCCUGAUGCAGCAACGCCGCGUGCGGGAUGACGGCCUUCGGGUUGUAAACCGCUUUCGCCUGUGACGAAGCGUGAGUGACGGUAAUGGGUAAAGAAGCACCGGCUAACUACGUG
rnacentral:rRNA from 1 species